UCCCUGUAGCGCAAUGGGUAGCGCGUUGCACUUCUAAUUCAAUGGUCGUGGGUACAAAUCCCACCUGGAAAU